AUGGAGGGAAGCGACGAAGAGAGUCAGGCGCCCGCCGCUCCAGCCCCCCUGCCGCUGCCGCCUCCAGGGCCCCUGCCGCCGCCGGCGACGGACGAGGGCCACCUUGAGCUCCUCGGGGUGCUCCGCCUUCGGGUGAGGGGUCUCGCCCCAUGGAUGCUGCCCCCGUACUUCCUCUUCAACGUGGACAUCUACAACUACCAUCCGCGAGAGCUUCUUGCGGCAUACCCGUCUGCGACCGCCGCGGAUCGGAGCUCGGCGCUGUACUUCGUCAAUCUCGUCCGCCGCAAGACUGCAACGGACUCGAGAAAGAAGAGAGGCGUCCCCGGGGGCACCUGGAAAUCCGAGCGGUCCCCGCUGCCGCUCGUCUCGGAGGCCAUCCAGGGAGCCCGGCAGAUGUUCUCGUUCACGGUGUUGGACGCGAAGGGCGAGGAAAUCCGGCAAGGCUACAUAAUGCAGGAGCUCACCCUUGCCGGGGACGAAGGCAAGCUCGACGGCGGCGCCGACAUGGCCGUAUCCAAGAUAUACCCGAGCCCCCGCGGCGACAAGGCCAAGGGGAAGGCCAAAGCCGUCCCCGCGUCGUCAAGAAAGAAGCGGAAGGCCCUCGAGGCGUCCGCCGCCGCCUCCUUCUCCUCCGCACCGGCUCUCCGGCUCGGGAUCUCCAGUCCGGCCCCUCCUCUCCGCCUGGGGGCCUCGACCUCCUCGGCGCCUCCUCUCGCCGAGGGCGCCGCUUCGACCUCCUCCGCGCCUCAUCUCGGCCAGGGCGCCGCGUCGACCUCCUCCGCGUCUCAUCUCGGGCAGGGCGCCGCGUCGACCUCCUCCGCGUCUCAUCUUGGGCAGGGCGCCGCGUCUCAUCUCGGGCAGGCCGCUGCUCCGAGCCACGCCAGGCGGUUACUCAUUCUGGAGCUAGAUGGUUUUUCGCCGGUGGGGGAAGAUUUCUUGCCUCAGAACAUUUUGAGGGCUUCGGAGGUGAUUGGUAGAAGAAGGGUGCCUGUUGACUGCGACGACGUUGUUCUGCUGCAGAAGAAGAAGAAGCUACCAGCAGGUUGCUGUUAA
rnacentral:rRNA from 1 species